rnacentral:misc_RNA from 1 species
AGUGACUGCGGAGGAUCAUUAUCGAAUUAUAAGCGGAGGUUGUCGCUGGCCCCUUGGGGGGCAUGUGCACGCCCGAGCUCUUAAUCCACUUACACCAGUGAACUCUUUGUGGGGAAACCGUCCAUCUCUCCUCCGUGGGGGGGUGGAGGGGAUUCUCAUGUAUUAUUCCNUAUACUCUUAUGCAUGUCUUCNNAAUGUCUUGAUGUUGCUCCNACGCAAUCAUAUAUAUACAACUUUCAACAACGGAUCUCUUGNCUCUCGCAUCNAUGAAAAANGCANCGAAAUGCGAUAAGUAAUGUGAAUUGCANAUUUUCANUGAAUCAUCNAAUCUUUGAACGCACCUUGCGCUCCUUG